rnacentral:rRNA from 1 species
UGAACGCUGGCGGCAGGCUUAACACAUGCAAGUCGAGCGGGGGAAGGUAGCUUGCUACCGGACCUAGCGGCGGACGGGUGAGUAAUGCUUAGGAAUCUGCCUAUUAGUGGGGGACAACAUCUCGAAAGGGAUGCUAAUACCGCAUACGUCCUACGGGAGAAAGCAGGGGAUCUUUGGACCUUGCGCUAAUAGAUGAGCCUAAGUCGGAUUAGCUAGUUGGUGGGGUAAAGGCCUACCAAGGCGACGAUCUGUAGCGGGUCUGAGAGGAUGAUCCGCCACACUGGGACUGAGACACGGCCCAGACUCCUACGGGAGGCAGCAGUGGGGAAUAUUGGACAAUGGGGGGAACCCUGAUCCAGCCAUGCCGCGUGUGUGAAGAAGGCCUUAUGGUUGUAAAGCACUUUAAGCGAGGAGGAGGCUACUUUAGUUAAUACCUAGAGAUAGUGGACGUUACUCGCAGAAUAAGCACCGGCUAACUCUGUGCCAGCAGCCGCGGUAAUACAGAGGGUGCGAGCGUUAAUCGGAUUUACUGGGCGUAAAGCGUGCGUAGGCGGCUUAUUAAGUCGGAUGUGAAAUCCCCGAGCUUAACUUGGGAAUUGCAUUCGAUACUGGUGAGCUAGAGUAUGGGAGAGGAUGGUAGAAUUCCAGGUGUAGCGGUGAAAUGCGUAGAGAUCUGGAAGAAUACCGAUGGCGAAGGCAGCCAUCUGGCCUAAUACUGACGCUGAGGUGCGAAAGCAUGGGGAGCAAACAGGAUUAGAUACCCCGGUAGUCCAUGCCGUAAACGAUGUCUAC